rnacentral:misc_RNA from 1 species
GUAGGUGAACCUGCGGUUGGAUCAUUAACAAAAAAAUUGGAAGGCUUUUUUGGAUACUCUCCAGAAAAGCUUUUUAAACACCAAUUGUGAACUUGUAUUAUUGUUUCUUUUCUGUGGUAUUCUCAUAUGACUGGUUCGCGCUAGUUUAUGGAUACCCAGAAAAAACUUUUUAAACUUAAAAGAUUAUACCAUUUUUGACCAUUAAAUAAAAGUUUGAAAUUUUUUUUAAACAUUAAAUAAAUUAAAAAAACAACUUUUGGCAACGGAUCUCUAGGCUCUU